AUGGAUAUCACACCUCCGAUCGUGUGCGAAGUGAACAAACAAACGAGGAACACGAGGACUGUAAAACAGGCUCUUUUGGACACGUCGUGGCCGCUUGAUGUGCAAGGGAAGUUGUCCUUCACAACACACAUUCAACUCUUGCACCUGCAGCAAGCAAUCGCCACGGUACAGCAUGAUGCGGCGGUGGAGGAUCAGUUCACGUGGCCAUGUGAUGUGUCAGGAGUCUACUCGGCCCGCUCCGUCUAUGACAGACUUUGCUCAGGUUUGCAGCGUGCAUCUUCCAACAAAUGCAUUUGGAGGAAUUGGGCACCGCUCAAGUGCAAGAUUCAUAUUUGGUUGACUGUCCAACACCGGAUUUGGACAUCGUAUCGCAGAGCCAGACAUGGGUUGCAGGAGGAGCCAUCGGCCUGUUACACCUGCCUCUAG
rnacentral:rRNA from 1 species